UACAGAGGUCCCGAGCGUUGUUCGGAUUCACUGGGCGUAAAGGGUGCGUAGGUGGUGAGGUAAGUCGGAUGUGAAAUCUCCAAGCUCAACUUGGAAAUGGCAUUGGAAACUACCUUGCUGGAGGUUUGGAGGGGGGGGGACUGGAAUUCUCGGUGUAGCAGUGAAAUGCGUAGAUAUCGAGAGGAACACCAGUGGCGAAGGCGAGUCCCUGGACAAAACCUGACACUGAGGCACGAAAGCUAGGGGAGCAAACAGG
rnacentral:rRNA from 1 species